AAAUAGACCCUUCAGUUUGACCCUUCACGUUUUCUCGCCUCUUUUGAGGACCACUAGUAACCUGUACUCAUCUUCCUCCGCCGCGACCGAGCUAGAAACAGACAUAGUUGCAGGAGACGAUACCGAGAAAACACGCCCCGCCGUUGAACUCUCAUCAGCCGAAAGCUUCAUCGCCGGCAAUUUCUAUUCGUUAAUUAAAGACCACCACCGCAAGAACCCCAAUUUCGCCCUAAACCCCAUAAACCCUAAUGUGGCGUUGCCAUCUCUCUCUUUCGAGUUUUCAAAUAUCUCCACCGUUCAAUCUAUAUCGGCCGCCGUCGUCCGACGCGUGAUAGAGAAAUGCGGCGCUCCCCGCCACGGUAUUCCCUUCCCCCAAACGCUCGCAUUCUUCAACUGGGCCACGUCGGCGCUGGAGCCUUCUCAAGCCCUGGAGCUGUUCAAUGAAAUGGUCGAUCUUUCCGGAAAGGUACGCCAAUUCGAUGUCGCCUGGAACUUAAUUGAUUCGAUGAAAGCUCAAAAUGUGACGAUCCCGAUUGAAACAUUUUCGAUUUUGAUUCGGCGGUAUAUUCGUGCUGGAAUGGCCUGGAAGCGGUGCAUACAUUCAAUAGGAUUCAGGAAUAUGGAUGCGAGCCUGAUAGGAAGGCUUUUUCCAUUGUGAUUGGUAUGUUGUGCAGGAAACGUCGCGCCUUUGAAGCGCAGGCAUUUUUUGAUGGUUUGAAGGAUAAGUUUGAGCUUGAUGUUGUGGUGUAUACUAGCUUGAUACACGGCUGGUUUCGAGCGGGUAACAUUGAUGAGGCUGAGAGGGUUUUUAAGGAGAUGAAGGAAGCUGGAAUUCAGCCUACUGUGUAUACUUACAGUAUUGUGAUUGAUGCAUUGUGUAGAUGUGGGCAGGUAACGCGUGCACAUGAUGUGUUUGCUGAAAUGAUUGAUGUCGGGUGUCAGCCAAACUCGGUUACUUUCAACAAUUUGAUGCGAGUUCAUGUUAAGGCAGGGAGGACUGAGAAGGUGCUGCAAGUAUAUAAUCAAAUGAAGAGGCUUUCUUGUGAGCCGGAUGUGAUUACAUACAACUUUCUGAUUGAAACUCACUGCAAGGACAAGAAUCGAGGGAGGCUCAGAAGGUGCUUAGUUCAAUGAUUAAGAAAGGGUGUGAGACGAAUGCAUCAAGUUUCAAUCCAAUCUUUAGGUGCAUCGCGACAGACCAGGAUGUGAAUGCUGCUCAUCGGUUGUUUGUCAGGAUGAAGGAUGUGAAAUGCAUGCCCAACACAGUGACGUACAAUGUGUUGAUGCAGAUGUUUUCUGAGUCGAAGUCUACUGAUAUGGUCAUCAAGCUUUGGAAGGAGAUGCAUGAGAAUGAAGUGGAGCCUAAUGUGAAUACUUUCAAGAUUCUUAUCUCCUUGUACUGCUCGAUGGGGCAUUGGAACAAUGCUUACAAGUACUUUAGGGAGAUGAUUGAGGAGCGAUGUUUGAGACCUAAUCCACAGGUCUACGAAAUGGUUAUGAAGCAGCUGAGAAAAGCAGGUCAGCUGAAGAAGCAUGAAGAACUAAUGGAGAAGAUGGUUGAUAGGGGUUUCAUUACUCGUCCUCUCUAGAGAUAAACUGUAUCGCUUGCUUAGAAGCAUUUUAUUGUGUUCGAGAUCAAACUAUUAAUUUGCUUGAUCAUGCAGGCUGGAUCAAGUGAGGGGUUCCAUAUGUGUCCACACGAUCAUACACUUGGUGCAGUAUUAGUUGCAAGUGUGCAUUGAUCAGUUUUGAUCCUGAAGCAUGACUAGCUUGUGCAUCCGUUUGCUAAAUUUUCAAUGCACUAAACAGAGUUGCUUUGCAAGGGUAUCUUGAGAUGCUUGGUAGGUACACUGUGACUGUCUAUUCUCAUUCUUGAAACUCUGCUAAGACUGGCUUAUUUGGCCAGGAAUUUAGAAUUCAGUUAAGUUUUGCAAAGAAUUGACGCUUACUGCGUCUAUGUUGAAGAUACAACUUUGAUUCUGAUUGCACUCAUCAGGCACCAAACUCUUUUCU
rnacentral:lncRNA from 1 species